UACGGGGGGGGCAAGCGUUGUUCGGAUUUACUGGGCGUAAAGCGCACGUAGGCGGAUUGUUAAGUCAGGGGUGAAAUCCUGGAGCUCAACUCCAGAACUGCCUUUGAUACUGGCAAUCUUGAGUCCGGAAGAGGUGAGUGGAACUCCUAGUGUAGAGGUGGAAUUCGUAGAUAUUAGGAAGAACACCAGUGGCGAAGGCGGCUCACUGGUCCGGUACUGACGCUGAGGUGCGAAAGCGUGGGGAGCAAACAGG
rnacentral:rRNA from 1 species